GACGAACGCUGGCGGCGUGCUUAACACAUGCAAGUCGAACGGAAAGGCCCUGCUUUUGUGUGGUGCUCGAGUGGCGAACGGGUGAGUAACACGUGAGUAACCUGCCCUUGACUUUGGGAUAACUUCAGGAAACUGGGGCUAAUACCGGAUAGGAGCUCCUGAUGCAUGGUGGGGGUUGGAAAGUUUCGGCGGUUGGGGAUGGGCUCGCGGCUUAUCAGCUUGUUGGUGGGGUAGUGGCUUACAAAGGCUUUGACGGGUAGCCGGCCUGAGAGGGUGACCGGCCACAUUGGGACUGAGAUACGGCCCAGUCUCCUACGGGAGGCAGCAGUGGGGAAUAUUGCACAAUGGGCGGAAGCCUGAUGCAGCAACGCCGCGUGCGGGAUGACGGCCUUCGUGUUGUAAACCGCUUUCGCCUGUGACGAAGCGUGAGUGACGGUAAUGGGUAAAGAAGCACCGGCUAACUACGUG
rnacentral:rRNA from 1 species